rnacentral:misc_RNA from 1 species
AACCUCUCAAGCUCUGCUUGGUGUUGGGUGCAGGCCUACCAGGGCCCGCCCGUAACUCGUUGGCGGUACGUCACCGGCUGAAAGCGUAGCAAAAUAUGCUGGAGCCCGGGGACGGCCUGUCAGGUAACCACAACCAAAA